rnacentral:snRNA from 1 species
CCGCCCCAAAAAUGAGAUGGAGU